AUUCAUGCAGUCCCUGGACAUUUGACUCUCCAAUAUUCUACUCUACCUUCUUCCAUUUAUAUCUUUUCUCAAUUUCAUUCUCCCUGGCUCUCAAAAUCCACAUUAUUGGACGACUGGUUCUGGCAAUUACAAAAGAAAAAUAUAACAGGUGGUGGUGGUGAAGAUUUGAAUCACCUCGACGACUUAAUUAGUUAAUGGAUCCUCGUGGAAUGAUAUUUAUGAUCAUGCAACGUUGUGGAGAGGGAGGAACCAAGAAAAUAGAAAGAACACUCGCAUUACAAAAGUAAAAGUGUCUUAGGUGACUGUAGCACGCACAUUAUACCUACCAUAUGCGAAUCUUGCAUCACGUACGAGUUUUCAGAUGGUAUGUCGCUCGUUCGAGAAGCAUGACGACCACCCGAAUAUAGUUCAAGGAAUCACCGAGAUCUAAUCGACCUACCGUGCAAUUCCGUGUCGUGUGAACACGGCUAAAUAUUUAUGAACGAUUUACCCUAUCGCUGCAGGUGACGGAAUAAAAAGCACGUGUAAAUAUAUCGCACCGCUUCCUUGAACUCUAUCGAUCACGUUACCAAGUAUCGAACUUGGAUUGAAGACGAUAAUAACGUGUUUCUUUGUUGAUUAACUGGCGCAGCUAAGGAAAAAUCGAUACCCAAGGUAUUCAGACGUAAUACUGCAUAGCCAUUGUCGCACUUCUUCGACGAAGCGUAAUUACGCGAAUAACGGUCAUCCUGAGGAUCAGAGUUCGCGAGUCGUUAAUCGAUCGCAAGGAGACGUCGACCAGACGAUGAGGGAACGAUGCACGGCAUUUCACGCUUGGCAGUUGAAAUGGAAAAAAUUCUAGGUCGACAAAAUGUGUACCAAUUGGAAAAAGACGAAAAAAAAAAAUGCGAUGCGUUUUCAUGAAGACAGAUGAUGCGAUAGGAUCGAAAAAAAAAAUAAAUGCACAAUUGCGAAGGCUACCUGGAUGAGAAAGAAAUACAGGAGGAGAACAGCUGAUAGAGAUAUAAAGAGAGAAAAGUGAAAGAGAAAAAUAUACGUAAUCGAGGAGAAAAUAACGACGAUGUUGAGGACCCAGCGUUUAGGAAGAAGUCACCGAACGUCAGAGUUUCAGAGGACCUGUCGAACGAAAGAAGCCCUCGAGACUGCGAUUCGCGCGUCUAGAGGAAAUAGAAAACUAUGUUUUAGCGUCUCUAUCUAAGCUUUGGUAACCUUUCUGGGAUCUCGAGGGGCUUCCUUUCGUCGGAUCGAGAUCGGUCACUGCGAACAAGCGAGCAAACGAUUCACUGUGAACAGAGGGUAUAUGAGAGAUUUUAUUGCGACGACGAAUAUAACUGUGCUUUUCAAACAAAAAGACAAUGCAAUGUUGUUGUGCAGGCAUCGCGCACAAAGGGGUUACUGCAAAAACCAAUGGGGUUAUAAAUGAGACGGUAUGUUAAACGAAAUAUUGAACAAAAUACUGGUAAUAAAAAGAUUAACAUCCUUUUUGCAACAACCCCGUGAUAAAUGACCGACAGUGAAAUUUUGAGAGAUCUGUCCAUUUCUUGGCGUUUAAUCCUCUCAUGUGAAACGAUUCUUGCUUCUUCCAUCGCGCCGGAAUCCCAAAAACGACACGUAACACG